CCUACGGUGGGCAGCAGUGAGGAAUAUUGGUCAAUGGGCGAGAGCCUGAACCAGCCAAGUCGCGUGAGGGAAGACGGUCCUACGGAUUGUAAACCUCUUUUGUCAGGGAGCAAGGAGCGCCAAAAGUGGAUCGGCGAGAGUACCUGAAGAAAAAGCAUCGGCUAACUACGUGCCAGCAUCCGCGGUAAGACGGAGGAUGCGAGCGUUAUCCGGAUUUAUUGGGUUUAAAGGGUGCGCAGGCGGAAGCGGUAAGUCAGCGGUAAAAUUGCGGGGCUCAACCGCGCCGGUCCGUUGAAACUGGUCUUCUAGAGUGGGCGAGAGGUCUGCGGAAUGCGUGGUGUAGCGGUGAAAUGCAUAGAUAUCACGCAGAACUCCGAUUGCGAAGGCAGCAUACCGGCGCCCAACUGACGCUCAUGCACGAAAGCGUGGGUAUCGAACAGGAUUAGAUACCCCUGUAGUC
rnacentral:rRNA from 1 species